ensembl:lncRNA
CCCCCAGCUAGAUGUUCAGCCCCAAAAAGACAGGGUGCUGUCUGGCUAGUUCAUUGUGUAUCCCCAGCCCUAGGAGCCUGCCAAGUCCAGGGCAGACGUCACGUUAGAGCCUGUUAAAAGGAUAAAUAAGAGUAAUAGUAAUAAUAACUCAUGUUAACUGCCUGCUAUUUUUUGGUCUCCAGGUGAGGCGCGAAUCAACGUUUUCCAUAUUUUAAGCCACUCAAUCCUCCCAGCAUUUUGAGCACACAGGAUCUUCCACCUUUGCGGCAGCAGGAAGGAUCUUCGGUUGUGCCUUGUAAACUCCUAGCUGCAGUGUGUGGGGUCUAAUUCCCCGACCAGGGAUGGAAACCGGGCCACCUGCAUUAGGAGCAUGGAGUCUUAGCUACUCACUGGGCCACUAGGGAAGUCCUGAUUUCUGUCUGCUCUUAUCACUGCUGUAUGCCCAGGGAACUACAAUCUGGCAGAUUGCAGAGGGUCGGUACAUUUCCGGAAGAAAUAAAAGAAGGCAUGUGUGGGCUCCAUUCCUAGGCAGGGAGUGUGUUGGGCUGAAGAGAAAGGCAGUGGGAGACUUGAAGACGGAGAGGAGAUCGUGUGACCACGGACGCCGAGACUGGAGUGAUGUGGCUGCAAGCCAAGGAAAGACAGCUGCCUUGGAAGCUGGAAGGGGCAAGAGCCUCCAGUUCUGCAACACCUUGAUUUUGACCCAGUUACACUGAUUCUGGAAUUCUGAACUCCAGAACUGUGGGAUGAUAAAUUUCUGUUGUUUUGAGCGGAACGAAAGCAAAAGCUGCCUAAUUCUGUAUAAGUCCAGGUGUUAAGGACACUCCAUGAGCCUCUACCCCACCCCGCUGUCCCAACCCUGGACAGAACCACCAUCAUCUUAUCCCUGGACUUUCACGUAUGGCUCCCUUCCUGGUCCCCUCACAGUUACACUUUCCCCCGCAUCACAGUCCUGUACCUUCUCCAUACCUAGCGUGACCUGAGGAUUGUGUUUCUCCCCAUGUCUAAAUCCUGCCUUUUCACUACACUUUGGAUCUCUUGCAACAUUUUUUAAAAUUUGUUUAUUUUUUAUUGAAG